UACGUAGGGGGCUAGCGUUGUCCGGAAUCAUUGGGCGUAAAGCGCGCGUAGGCGGUCCGGUAAGUCUGCUGUGAAAGUCCAGGGCUCAACCCUGGAAGGCCGGUGGAUACUGUCGGACUAGAGUGCGGAAGAGGCGAGUGGAAUUCCUGGUGUAGCGGUGGAAUGCGCAGAUAUCAGGAGGAACACCUAUAGCGAAGGCAGCUCGCUGGGACGUAACUGACGCUAAGGCGCGAAAAGCGUGGGGAGCGAACAGG
rnacentral:rRNA from 1 species